CGCGUAGGCUGUGCUGUAAGUCAGGCGUGAAAGGCCCGGGCUCAACCUGGGAACUGUGCAUGAUACUGCGGCGCUUGAAGGCGGGAGAGGAUGGCGGAAUUCCCAGUGUAGAGGUGAAAUUCGUAGAUAUUGGGAAGAACACCGGUGGCGAAGGCGGCCAUCUGGCCCGCAAUUGACGCUGAGGCGCGAAAGCGUGGGGAGCAAACAGGAUUAGAUACCCUGGUAGUCCACGCUGUAAACGAUGAGUGCUAGACGUCGGGGAGCUUGCUCUUCGGUGUCGCCGCUAACGCAUUAAGCACUCCGCCUGGGGAGUACGGUCGCAAGAUUAAA
rnacentral:rRNA from 1 species